rnacentral:rRNA from 1 species
AGAAGAAACUAAAUAGGAUUCCCUUAGUAAUGGCGAAUGAACAGGGGAGUGCUCAGUAUGGAAAUUGGGGCCUUCUUGGCCUUGAGUUGUGAUCUCGAGAUGCACAACCAACAGUGGUGCAGGUGUAAGCCUCUUGGGAAAGAGCAUCGUCGAGGGUGAGAGUCCCGCGCGUCGCCUGCAACCUCUUGUGUACGGUGUGUUUUCCAAGAGUCACGUUCCUCGGGAUUGGAGCGCAAAGUGGGUGGUAAAUUUCAUCUAAAGCUAAAUAUGGGUUCGAGACCGAUAGCAAACAAGUACCCUGAGGGAAAAGUGAAAAGGACUUUGAAAAGAGAGUUAAACAGAGCCUGCCAUUGCUGAAAGGGAAGCGAACGGCACCAGUGUGACUCGGCGAGAUUACCGCGCUGCUAACAUGAUUGCCCGCCCCCUCAACGCAAGUGUGGAGGUGUGUCUUGAUUGGGACGCGCGUGGCACUUCUUGCCUUGUCAGUCAACGUCUGUUUGCGCACGGGGAAAAAGGUGUGGGCAAGGUAGUCUCGCUUUCGGGUGAGGGAAUGCCCGCGCUGUUACUCGCGCGUGUACAGGUCGAUGACGACAUGGUUUCUUUCGACCCGUCUUGAAACACGGACCAAGGA